UGGGGAAUCUUGCGCAAUGGGCGAAAGCCUGACGCAGCAACGCCGCGUGUGUGAUGAAGGUCUUCGGAUCGUAAAGCACUGUCGCGAGGGACAAAUAAGGGUCGGGCUAACAUCCCGGUCCGAUGACGGUACCUCGAGAGGAAGCACCGGCUAACUCUGUGCCAGCAGCCGCGGUAAUACGGGGGGUGCGAGCGUUGUCCGGAACCACUGGGCGUAAAGGGCGCGUAGGUGGCUUUGUAAGUUUGCGGUGAAAGCCCGGGCCUCAACCCCGGGUCUGCCGUGAAUACUGCAAGGCUUGAGUACUGUAGAGGCAGGUAGAAUAUCGGGUGUAGCGGUGGAAUGCGUAGAGAUCCGAUAGAAGACCGGUGGCGAAGGCGGCCUGCUGGGCAGUAACUGACACUGAGGCGCGACAGCGUGGGGAGCAAAC
rnacentral:rRNA from 1 species